rnacentral:rRNA from 1 species
GCGGUAACAGAGAGUAGCUUGCUACUUUGCUGACGAGCGGCGGACGGGUGAGUAAUGCUUGGGAAUAUGCCUUAUGGUGGGGGACAACAGUUGGAAACGACUGCUAAUACCGCAUGAUGUCUUUGGACCAAAGUGGGGGACCUUCGGGCCUCACGCCAUAAGAUUAGCCCAAGUGGGAUUAGCUAGUUGGUGAGGUAAUGGCUCACCAAGGCGACGAUCCCUAGCUGGUUUGAGAGGAUGAUCAGCCACACUGGGACUGAGACACGGCCCAGACUCCUACGGGAGGCAGCAGUGGGGAAUAUUGCACAAUGGGCGCAAGCCUGAUGCAGCCAUGCCGCGUGUGUGAAGAAGGCCUUCGGGUUGUAAAGCACUUUCAGUAAGGAGGAAAGGUUAAGUGUUAAUAGCACUUAGCUGUGACGUUACUUACAGAAGAAGCACCGGCUAACUCCGUGCCAGCAGCCGCGGUAAUACGGAGGGUGCGAGCGUUAAUCGGAAUUACUGGGCGUAAAGCGUACGCAGGCGGUUUGUUAAGCGAGAUGUGAAAGCCCCGGGCUCAACCUGGGAACUGCAUUUCGAACUGGCAAACUAGAGUGUGAUAGAGGGUGGUAGAAUUUCAGGUGUAGCGGUGAAAUGCGUA